UGGCAGGUACAGCGGGAAGCCACCUGGCGACAGGGAGCGGAACCCGAAAGCCUGUCUCAGUUCGGAUUGGAGUCUGCAACCCGACUCCAUGAAGCCGGAUUCGCUAGUAAUCGCGCAUCAGCCACGGCGCGGUGAAUACGUUCCCGGGCCUUGUACACAUCGCCCGUCAAGCCAUGGAAGCCGGGGGUGCCUGAAGUGCGCUGCCGCAAGGAGCGCCCUAGGGUAAAACCGGUGACUGGGGCUAAGUCGUAACAAGGUACC
rnacentral:rRNA from 1 species